rnacentral:rRNA from 1 species
GUGGGGAAUAUUGGACAAUGGGCGCAAGCCUGAUCCAGCAAUGCCGCGUGUGUGAAGAAGGUCUUAGGAUUGUAAAGCACUUUCGACGGGGACGAUAAUGACGGUACCCGUAGAAGAAGCCCCGGCUAACUUCGUGCCAGCAGCCGCGGUAAUACGAAGGGGGCUAGCGUUGCUCGGAAUGACUGGGCGUAAAGGGCGCGUAGGCGGCUGUUCAAGUCAGAUGUGAAAAUCCUGGGCUCAACCUGGGGACUGCAUUUGAUACUGGACGGCUAGAGUUCGGAAGAGGGUAGUGGAAUUUCCAGUGUAGAGGUGAAAUUCGUAGAUAUUGGAAAGAACACCGGUGGCGAAGGCGGCUACCUGGUCCGACACUGACGCUGAGGCGCGAAAGCGUGGGGAGCAAACAGG